UUUAUCUUGGCUGAGUGGUUAAAGCGUUGCACUCGAAAUGCAAUUCCCUUGGGAGCGUAGGUUCAAAUCCUGCAGAUAACG
rfam:Dictyostelium lacteum strain TK GLQOFTK02IJPNF, whole genome shotgun sequence.